UACGUAGGCAGCAAGCGUUGUUCGGAAUUACUGGGCGUAAAGAGUGUGUAGGCGGUGUUCUAAGUCUGUUGUGAAAUCUCCCGGCUUAACUGGGAGGGUGCGGCGGAAACUGGAAUGCUAGAGGAUGGGAGAGGUAAGCGGAAUUCCUGGUGUAGCGGUGAAAUGCGUAGAUAUCAGGAGGAACACCGGUGGCGAAGGCGGGUCUCUGGGCCGAUACUGACGCUGAGGAGCGAAAGCGUGGGGAGCGAACAGG
rnacentral:rRNA from 1 species